GAUCAUGGCUCAGAACGAACGCUGGCGGCAGGCUUAACACAUGCAAGUCGAACGCGUGUAGCAAUACACGAGUGGCGCACGGGUGAGUAACGCGUGGAUAUCCGCCUUUUGGUUCGGAAUAACCCCGGGAAACUGGGGCUAAUACCGGAUGGUUCCUACGGGAUAAAGAUUUAUCGCCAAAAGAUGAGUCCGCGUACGAUUAGCUAGUUGGUGAGGUAAUGGCUCACCAAGGCGACGAUCGUUAGCUGGUCUGAGAGGACGAUCAGCCACACUGGGACUGAGACACGGCCCAGACUCCUACGGGAGGCAGCAAUCU
rnacentral:rRNA from 1 species